rnacentral:rRNA from 1 species
UCCGGGGGGAGCAAGCGUUGUUCGGAUUUACUGGGCGUAAAGGGCGCGUAGGCGGCGCACCAAGUCACUUGUGAAAUCUCCGGGCUUAACCCGGAGCGGCCAAGUGAUACUGUCGUGCUAGAGUGCGGAAGGGGCUACUGGAAUUCUCGGUGUAGCGGUGAAAUGCGUAGAUAUCGAGAGGAACACCUGCGGCGAAGGCGGGUAGCUGGGCCGACACUGACGCUGAGGCGCGAAAGCCAGGGGAGCGAACGGG